CUCAAAUUUGAAAUCUGGCCCUUGGGUCCGAAUUGUAAUUUGUAGAGGAUGAUUUUGGUGCGGUAUCUUCCGAGUUCCUUGGAACAGGACGCCUUAGAGGGUGAGAGCCCCGUACGGUUGAAUGCCUAGCCUCUGUAAAUCUCCUUCGACGAGUCGAGUAGUUUGGGAAUGCUGCUCUAAAUGGGAGGUAAAUUUCUUCUAAAGCUAAAUACUGGCCAGAGACCGAUAGCGCACAAGUAGAGUGAUCGAAAGAUGAAAAGCACUUUGAAAAGAGGGUUAAAUAGCACGUGAAAUUGUUGAAAGGGAAGGAUUUAUGACCAGACUUUUUCUGGGCGGAUCAUCCGGUGUUCUCACCGGUGCACUUUGCCCAGUUUAGGCCAGCAUCGAUUUUCGGAGAGGGAUAAAAGCUUUGGGAAUGUGGCUCCCCCGGGAGUGUUAUAGCCCAUUGUAUAAUACCUUUCUGGGGAUCGAGGUACGCGCUUCUGCAAGGAUGCUGGCGUAAUGGUUAUCAAUCACCCGUCUUGAAACACGGACCAAGGAGUCGAACAUUUGUGCGAGUGUUUGGGUGUUAAACCCUCACGCGUAAUGAAAGUGAACGGAGGUGAGAGCCCUUACGGGUGCAUCAUCGACCGAUCCUGAAGUUUUCGGAUGGAUUUGAGUAAGAGCAUAACUGUUCGGACCCGAAAGAUGGUGAACUAUGCGUGGAUAGGGUGAAGCCAGAGGAAACUCUGGUGGAGGCUCGCAGCGGUUCUGACGUGCAAAUCGAUCGUCAAAUCUGCGCAUGGGGG
rnacentral:rRNA from 1 species